GUGAGGAAUAUUGGUCAAUGGGCGAGAGCCUGAACCAGCCAAGUAGCGUGAGGGAUGACUGCCCUAUGGGUUGUAAACCUCUUUUGCAGGGGGGUAAAGUGGUCCACGUGUGGAUCAUUGCAAGUACCCUGCGAAUAAGGAUCGGCUAACUCCGUGCCAGCAGCCGCGGUAAUACGGAGGAUCCGAGCGUUAUCCGGAUUUAUUGGGUUUAAAGGGAGCGUAGGCGGGGGUUUAAGUCAGCUGUGAAAUGCCGUGGCCCAACCAUGGAACUGCAGUUGAAACUGGACCUCUUGAGAGUACAUAAGGAAGGCGGAAUUCGUGGUGUAGCGGUGAAAUGCAUAGAUAUCACGAAGAACUCCGAUUGCGAAGGCAGCUUUCCGGGGUACAUCUGACGCUGAAGCUCGAAAGUGCGGGAAUCAAACAGGAUUAGAAACCCGAGUAGUCC
rnacentral:rRNA from 1 species